CUUCCACUCCUCCCGCAGCCGCCUCCCUCCCUCCCUCCCACGCAGCCGCCUCCCUCCCUCACUCGCUCCUCAUCCGGCGAUCGCUUCCACUCCUCCCACAGCCGCCUCCCUCCCUCACUCGCUCCUCAUCCGGUGACGGCAGCAGCGGUCACAGAGGAGGGCGGCGGAUCAAUGGCGUCAGCGAUGGCGUCCGUGGCGGCGGUGGACGGCGCGGCCGCGGCGCUCCGUUCGGUGAUGUCACGCGCGCGGCAGGUGGCGGCACGGUCGGGGCGGGCGCCAGAGCAAUUUGGGCUUCUAUCCUGAUUUAAUCCUUUGCCUCCUCUUGCUCGUACGCCAACAUGUGAGAACUAGGAGAAAGGGGUGGAGGCCAUGGAGGUCACGGGGCAAGGAAGAAGAGGAGGCCAUGGAGGUCGUGGGGGAGAUCCGGAGAGGAACAGGAGGCCACGAUGGAGGACCACGAUGUCGCCCCCAUCUUCCCACUCCUUGAAGAAUAGCACCCCUUUGAGCCCCAUGUUGUGGAAAAUAUUGGAACAAUCAACAAUCAUGUUGAAGACCAACAUAGGAUGAUAGAGAAUCUGCAGGUUCAAGGAAUUGUUCUCAGCAUCAUCCAAUGGAGGAAAGAUAAUGCAGAGGGGGUGGAAGUAGAUGUUGUGUCGCUAAUAGCACCAACUGCCAUUUACGGAUCCAUGGCCCGAGUCUUAGUUUGAUCUUGCCGUUUCGCGGCUCAAUAUCGAUGACUACCAUGAGGCACUGCACAGUUAAACUCCUCUGGUAUUUUCUACACCUUUGUGUAAUGGGUGGAACCUAUCCUACACAAUGCCCAAUGAGCAAUGUUUUUUCCUACGGGUAGAAAAUGCUCUGUUUUCAAGUGGCAUCAUACGGCGAAGCAGGGGAUCUGGAUCAGGGGUCGUAAUGGUUCUUGUGACGACAUGUCUAGCGCUUGCGCUCCCUGCACUCUGGCUUCUACUUGCAAGAUAAGUUCAAGACAAGUCUGACCUAAUAACUACUAUCGCCUUCUAUCCAAUGUCGAGCCUUCAACGGGGGGCAUCGGAGGGGACACCGUCGCACGAAAGGUUGGUGCCUCAAGCCACACUUAUUUCUUGUGAUUCUUUUCUCUUGCCACCGAGUUCGAUUCCUCUGAUUGCAUGCAGCCCAGGAGAAGCCUAAACUGAAAAUAACUAGCUUUAGUACUUUUCAUUCGUAUGCAUUCCCUACUCAGGGAAAAAUGUCUUGCGUAUGUGUGUGUGUACUGAAAUUGUAUCUCACUAUAGUAAUUCAUAAUUUGUUCAAUUUUUUACUUUGAUGCUGCAAAUAUAGGGAGGAAAUAUUGUGCAAGUCAAUAUCUCGAAAUGAACAAGGGGAAACCUUUUAAGUUACCUAAGGGAUCCAGAGGAAGGGCUAAAAACUGCAUAAGCAUAGCCAGUGAGCACGUAGAAAAAGCAUUGCAGUAUUCUUACAGGGACCAGCGUAACAAGAAAAAGUGACAGACCGUAUCUCUAGAUCGACUCCAUUGGGUAUCCAUUAACGUCUGAGAUUUCACAAGGAAAUGAGUUUCUUUCAUUCUCAUGUUGAAAAGAAUUAUAAAGAAACCAAGCAGAAUAUGAUGUCAAACUUUUAAGCUAUUAUUGGGUGGCCACCUAUCAAGGUUUGCUGAAAGUUAUGAACUUGCUUUUCAAAAGGCUUUGUAUUCUGCAUCUUUAUUUGUGCAAGAAAUCCAAUUGGAAUUGGUCUGUUGUCCUGUGCAUGUACUUUCUUUUGUUGCUUAUAUAUUUCAACCACUUAUUUAUGUUGUCCUGUGCAUGUACUUAUUUAUGUACUUCUGCCUGGGAUACUAUAUGGCUACCCUCUAAUGCACUGCUCAGCCUUCAGUCUCUUUCUGUAUAAUUGACUUAGGGAAAAACCCACUGUUUCCUAUCCUUUUCUGAGCAGCGAGAUCUAAUUAUUAUGAAAGACAUCUGUAGUGUGUUGCUUUCUAUAUAAAUGGCUUGCUCUAAUUCUGAUUUAUCAGACUGUGUGGCUUCUGUUCUAAUCCUUUUUGCCAAACUUGAUGCGUCGAGUUUUGAGCUACUGUUCCGCUUUGGAUCUUGUGCUUGGGCCGGACAACUACUGAAAUGGAAAUGUGUUGGAGCGAUUAUGUGUUGCAGAUCUUGCAUCAUAUUUUUUUGUGUAUGUGGGCAGUGUGUUCAAGUUGAUCUGGAACAAUUUGAAGUGUUUCCUCGACACAAAAUCUUCAGCCAAGGAUGGAAAUGUUCCUCGGCACCAUGACGCACAUCAACGGAGGAACAACCUUUUUAUUUUAUUUUCUGUUGCCUCUACUAUAUUGUUGCUGCCACAAAGAUUUACCUGGACAUGGAGCCAUCAUGAUGUGUUUAAAAAUGAUUACAUUAUCCUUUUCUAACCUGAUGGUGUUAGAAACCUCUUAGCAUUCGAGCAGGUUUAGUUCAUUGUUUACUAAUUCCUAUUAUGUAAAAAAAUCACUGAUCAUCACUUGACAGAAAGUAUUUUGAUAUGCAAUCAUUUGCAUGGGCGAA